rnacentral:lncRNA from 1 species
UUGAACGCCAAGUAAUUCUACUAGCAUUGCAUCUUCCUAACUUUUCUAGUAUUAUAUUCCUAUGAUAUGAUGACACUAUAAAUACUACUUGCAUAAUCAGAAACCCCAAUUCAAUUUCAAGUCACACCUCAAUCUCUUUUAUUUUGAUGGCUUUGAUUUCAUCCUUCUUCAAUUGUUUUGGUCCCUCUUCAAACUCAUCAUCUCAAGUUUUUUAUUAUGAUGAUAAAUCAUAUCAAUUGAAAUCUUCAUAUUCAUUGGAGAAACUAAAGAGCAAAGAAAAAUCAAAGGGUGCUCCAAUUGUAGUUUCUUAUUUCCCUGUUAACUCUAAUCUCUCACGUUUGUAAUCAUGUAUUUAUUUUGGUACUUGAUUUUAUUUUAUUUGGUUUUGUUUUGUUUUGUUUUAGUGAGAAAACUUAUAUGAUUGGCAUAAAGAAAUUUUAAUCCUAAAAUAGAUCUCUUAUACCUUAUAAAACCUAAAUCAAUAUUGAAUAAUAAUUUAUAGAAAUUCCUUAUGGUUUCGUACAUCAACCAAUAUUUUGUAAGGUCAUUCAACUUGAGUAGAAUCAACUAUUGUCCUUAUUAAUGAUUUACCUAGAAACAAUAUCAUAUUUAUUGAAAAUUCUCAGAAUCCUCUAUAGAACAUUUGCUUCCUUGAUAAAAAAAAAUCAUGAUAUCAUUAGCAUACAAGACAUGAGUUGCGAGUGCAUAUCAUUAGGCACUCAAGGGGGCUUUAUUUUCCCUUGUUAUAAAGCUAACGAUAAUACUCAGGCAAAGACAUCUUCCUUUAUGAAAAAAUGAUGAAGACAGAGGGUCCCCUUGUCUCAUUCCUCUCUUGCAAUCGAAGAAAUAUAUCGACCUUCAAUUGACAAGGAUUGUCAACUUUUACGAGUGUAAAAUUUCUAUGAUCCAGUCCUAGAACUUUAUAUUGAACCCAAGUGCAUCGAGAAACUCUAUUAUAAAAGUUUCAGACUAAUGUGUCAAAUAUCUUUUUCAAAAUUUAGGAUAAAAUUGCCUCCCCAACUCUCUCUAUCCAACACAUUCACCAUUGUACAUCCUGUUGUUUCAAGAUUUUGAAAAUUAGUUACUGAAGAAAUUAUCGGAUCGAGUUGCAUACUAGGUCGCUCUCUUAAAGACGUUUCACGAUACUGUCCAAAGUUAUGCAAAAC